UACGGAGGGUGCAAGCAUUAAUCGGAAUUACUGGGCGUAAAGGGCGCGUAGGCGGCCAAGUAAGUCAUUUGUGAAAUUCCAGAGCUUAACUCUGGAGCAGCAGAUGAAACUACUUAGCUUGAGUAAAAGCGGAGAAAACGGAAUUUCCCAUGUAGCGGUGAAAUGCGUGGAUAUGGGAAGGAACACCGGUGGCGAAAGCGGUUUUCUAGCUUUUAACUGACGCUGAGGCGCGAGAGCAAGGGGAGCAAAC
rnacentral:rRNA from 1 species